AACGAACGCUGGCGGCAUGCCUAACACAUGCAAGUCGAACGAGACCUUCGGGUCUAGUGGCGCACGGGUGCGUAACGCGUGGGAACCUGCCUUUAGGUUCGGGAAUAACUCAGAGAAAUUUGAGCUAAUACCGGAUAAUGUCUUCGGACCAAAGAUUUAUCGCCUUUAGAUGGGCCCGCGUUGGAUUAGCUAGUUGGUGGGGUAAAGGCCUACCAAGGCGACGAUCCAUAGCUGGUCUGAGAGGAUGAUCAGCCACACUGGGACUGAGACACGGCCCAGACUCCUACGGGAGGCAGCAGUGGGGAAUAUUGGACAAUGGGGCGAAAAGGCCUGAUCC
rnacentral:rRNA from 1 species